rnacentral:lncRNA from 1 species
UUUUGUGCAUUCUAGAUUUGAUUUUUCUGUUGAAGGUACAUUAUGCUGCGAGUUUGUCAAGUCUAUGUUGAUAGGUUGGAAAUAGUAAUGUUCACGAUUGAGAGUGGAUGAAAGGAUUACGCCACUCACCAUGGCUUAUUGUGAAGGAUCUCCCCAGGAAGUUGACCCUGCUAAAAGUAAGAUCGGACGCAACGUAUACAACUUAACCAACAUGAGUAUUCUGUAUAUUCC